rnacentral:lncRNA from 12 species
CAGUAUUAUUCAUGCAGAUCAAGUCUUUCUCCCUGGAUAGAAGCAUGACCACAAAACUACCAUCUCAAGAGGAGUUUGAGAACUGGACAGCUUUUCAAGUUGCAGCUCUCUUAAGACAGUUUGAAAUGCCUGAAUCUGCUGUGGUUGUAGAAAAACUGUGCAUGAAUGGAUCUCAUUUCUUGGUAAGCAAAUAUUCCAUAAGCACUCUCACUCAGGUGUAUUUCAGCAU